rnacentral:rRNA from 1 species
GACGGGAGAUGCGAGCGUUGUUCGGAAUCAUUGGGCUUAAAGCGUGUGUAGGCGGCUCGGUAAGUACCUUGUGAAAUCCCACGUCUCAACCGUGGAACUGCUUGGUCUACUGCCGGGCUCGAGGUUGGUAGAGGUGCCUGGAACUCUAGGUGGAGCGGUGAAAUGCGUAGAUAUCUAGAGGAACGCCCGUGGCGAAAGCGGGGCACUGGGCCAAUCCUGACGCUGAGACACGAAAGCGUGGGGAGCAAACGGG